CAAAAAUCAUGGGAGGUAAGGCCAUUCUUUUAGUGCCCAUUUUUCCCCUUUCUCCAUUCCUUCAUGCAAAAGACCACUCUUUCUCUCCCAUUGAAUCAAGCCCCAAAUAAAUCCAAGUAAAAUCCCGAAAAGGGGAGUGAAGUAAUUUUUACAGUACAAAAAGUCCCCCAGCGCCAAUAUCACCACUGUCUACAUGGUCAUCUUCGUCUCCACCACAGCUGUCAUCCUCCUCCUCCGUACCCUUCGAUACCAUCAUGGCCAACUCCCCGCUGCCAUUAGUCGCGGUAGCUAGCUCUGGAAUUCUUAAAGCUUAUCAUUAAUUCUCAUCCUCGUUAACUCCAUCAACCCUAGUCCCCCCUUUCUCUCACUUUUCGUUGUUCUCUAAUGGCUCAGAUUAAAACUUCCUUGACCCAGAUGAGUGAUGGAAUUUUGUUUUAUUUUUUACCAAUUUCUUAUGUUUUAUUCUGUUUACUGUUCUUGACUAAACCUACUAACGUGGUUAACUGGAUUUCAUCUGCGAUUUGGGUAUUUUUUGUUUUUCAACAUGAUCUUAAUCUUAAUAAAUUGGGUUUUGAUAAAGCUUCCAAAUGUGGUGUCAAAAAAUGUCGGAUUUAUAAUACUUGCUUUACCAAUAGUUGUUGUGAACACAAUAUUGCUCGAGAUGAUCAGGAACUCUGAACAAUUCAAUAGCGCUACGUGAGUGGGGUGUGGUGGUUCCAUUUUGGUGCUAGUGUAAGUUUGUUACGGUGAUCGGUAAAACGGUUUUGAUGAUAAUUAUAAAAUCCUAAGCCUGUUGAUACUUGUUUGAUUCUAAGCAUCACGUAUAAUGGUUUUCUAAAAUAUUAUGAAUCCUUGAAUCAUAGAUUUAACAAAAAAUUCUAUUUUAGUCACAAGUUAUAGGCAGCAUCAAUAAGGCUUUACAAGUUCUUAAUGUGAAAAAUUACAUUAUUUAUUUAGAUCUAUAUCUUAAUUUUCGAAAUGAAGAUUUGUUGUUGUGGUUUUUCAUGUCUCACUUAUCAGUUUGUGAUGAUUUUUGGUAGAAGAUGGUGGUGGCAAUAAUAAGACAGUGUAAGUUACAAUUUUAAAUAAAUUACACACUUUAUCAGAAUUUAAUAUCAUCACUUACCCAAAAAAAAAAAGUGAUUAUUCUUGCUGGGCUUUUUUUUUUUUUUAAUACUCGCCUGAAGGGAUGCAUAUAGAAAAAUCUUGUGCGAUUUUGGGUCCCUUUUAUCAAAUUGAAUUUUCAUUGAAUUUUGGUGGAUAAAUUUAUAAAUAUGUGGCAAUUUUUGGUGCAGCAAAUUCCUGUGACUGCGAAAAAUCAAUUUUCUGUGGUAAGUUAUAAAGAAGAUGAACUGUAUCUAAGCAGAUCCAAAAAUGGAAAACAAGGACAAGGCAGUGAUUAAGAAUGUUGUGGAGGGUUUUUUGCUUAUGGAAUUUUAAUGCUGUCUACUAGGUUAAGCCUUGAUGGUGUUUUACUUUUCAUCUUGAGAGUUGUCGUCUUUCAAUACGAAUCGUGUUCGAUCAUUUAUUUCUGGACUCUAAAGAUGAUCGUCACAUUACAAAAGGAUUAUGGAUGUUCGCUAUAUUUAUCAUUGGCUUAUGUGUUUAUGUUUUUCCACAUCAUGAUGCAAAGUUGGCUGUUAAAUUGUUACUCCUCUUGCUGCCGCAUAAAUUCUGUCCUCCCAUAGCCCAAUGAGUAGAUAAUCUUUGCCACCAGUAGAAACAAUCUUAGAAAUUUAGUUGUUUUUCUUGAAAUUCAAUGCAACGAUAAGAAAUUGAUCUUUCUACUUAUAUUGAAGCUCUUGUCUUUAAAUAUAUAAUAAAUAAUUUGAAGCUAAAAAAAAUCACGUCCUUGGUAUCCUUCCCAUUAUUGUGGUGAGUUUUGCAUCGGUUAAUGUCGGGUUUUGUUUGGUUUUUUAUGAUUUGAUUUGGUUAAAUAUAAAUUAUCUCAUGGUAGGAUUCGGCUGCUUAAUUUGAUGGGAUGCCUAGGAUGAAUUGAUAGUUUUUUCUUUCGUUUCAUGUGCUACAAAUAUCAAAUAAAUAAAUUGAUAUUUGGUGCAAAAAAGAAUAUAGAGAGUUUUAAUUGCUGCCAUUUUUUCAAAUUUAGAUGGGAAUUCCUUAAAUUUUGUUUGUGUGCCAAUAGUUUACUGCUUCUCUUAAGAAAAAGUUAGGAUUAAAUUGUUGUAAGAAUUUGUUAACUUCCAAUUAGAAAUUAAUUUCUAUUUUGUUAAUGAGAUUGCUUCUCUAUUAUAAUUCAAUAUUAUGUUUAUUUCUCACACAUAUUACAUGCUUGGGGGGACAUUCCUUGAUAAGUCAUCCAUUUGUUAGGACUCAUAGGAGGAAGAGUGCUUUGAAUUAGUUGCUACUUGUCUUCUUUCGGAUAGAGUAUACCCACAUCUAAGGUAUGGAGUUGUAUAUAUUUUACUCAACUCUUAAAUUUCAUGUAUGAAUUUGGCAGUCUAGGAAAUAACAAUGUAGAAAUGCAUGGUGUAUGGUGAUAACAUUAGUUCGUGGACCAUGUAAUUUUCAAUUGCUUUUUUAAAUUUUCGUAUGGUACUUCACUACUUCUUUAAACACUUUUUUGAUUGAACUUGGUCAGAAUCUUUAAAUUUUCAGACAUUUUUUCAACGGCAACUCACAUGUACAUUGGGAAACCGGGGAAUAAGAUUACAAAAAAUAAGUGAAACUCUAUAGGUUAAGGCUGAAAAAUCAUCUCCAAUCAUGGAACUCAACAUGUUAAAAGCCUAUAACGAUAAUGAAAGACAGUGCUCCCUUGUGAGUGCUUUAGCCCACUUGAAUGACCUGGAUAGUGGUUACUCCAAAGUCAUUAUCUAGAAAGGUUAAUUUCCCACAUGCCUAAUAUGUUUUAAAUAUAUUUUGCUUGGUCAAAUACUCUUAAGUUGUGCUUCCCUUUAAAAUGGGUUUAAAGCACUAUUACUCAAUCAACUGAUAGCAAAGUUUCGUGUUAGUCAUGGAAGCUUAUUUUAUUCCAAAAUAAUUACUUAAGUUUGUUUUUAGUUUUUAGGAAAGUCACUUAUCUAAAAUACAUCACUUUUUCUCUGCAAUUUUUAUUUUCAUUUGAAUUUCUUUCUUAGUUAGAUUGACACUACCUAUGGGUGUUUUAUUGAAUUCUUCAUUGUCUCAUUUUGAUCAGAAACUAUAGAAGAGAUUUUGUGAGGCAGUCAUAACAGAAAUCAAACUUCAUGCAGAAGAUUGGAAUCGUUGCAGAAAUAUGAGCUCCAUCAGAUGAGAUAUGGUGGCCUUACAUAUAUAGAAAGGCGGGUAGGCUAUAGCACAACAUUGCACUGUCGAACAAAGCAAACAGCUACAAAACGUGCAACGGAUAAAGUGCAGGCCUACAUACAGUCAGGGGCAGCGCAUGGAUGAACCUGUGUAUUAUUCGUUACUAUGUCAUAUUUCCGUCCACUGAUGAAUUUUAUGUAACGUUAUUUCUUGAAAAUUGAGCAGACUAUCGUUAAAGCUUUUAGCCAAACUCCAUUAUGAGACAUCGGGCCAUUGGAUACUGUUUGAAAAAAUUGUACUUUUGCACCCGCCUAACAUGUUGGCAAUAUUAUCCAUGUGCUUUAAGUUGGUCUACUAUUUCUUAAGGAAGCCAAUAGUUACGACUUGUGCAACGGAGCUUAGCUUGCAUUAAAUUUGUUUUCAUGGUGCAGGGGCUACGUCCUAAAGUACAAAUACUUAUUGCACAUGAAUGUAUAAUGUUUCUGAUUGUUGGAAAUUCGAUGAAAAACUUGAACGAUUUA